rnacentral:rRNA from 1 species
CCCUUAGAUGUUCUGGGCCGCACGCGUGCUACACUGAGUGGAUCAGCGGGUCAGGUUGCGCGAAUGUGUUUCCUAAUCUUGAAAUCCGCUCGUGAUGGGGAUUGACGGUUGCAAUUUUCCGUCAUGAACGAGGAAUACCUUGUAAGCGCGGGUCAUCAUCCCGCGCUGAAUACGUCCCUGCCCUUUGUACACACCGCCCGUCGCUCCUACCGAUUGAGUGGUCCGGUGAGGCUUUGGGAUCUGAGCGGAAAGAGCGUUUCGCUGUUUCUGCUCGGAAAACUCAGUCGAACCUUAUCAUUUAGAGGAAGGAGAAGUCGUAACA